UUCAUUUAAAUUACUUUUAUUUAUUAAGUUUACAAAUAAAGUAACAAAUAUAUUUUAUUGGAGCGCAAAGCGCAGUUUUAUUUGAAGCUUGAACAGCCUCUACUUAAUGCAGAACAGUUAACCGCUGCCAAUGAUUCCUAACAGGUUGCGCUUGGUUUUCCAUUUUAGUAUUAUUCUAAAACAUUCUGUACAAUGUUAAACAGCAUGAGGAAAAACCAAUUCAUUAAGUCACUAGAUGUUUCUUGAGACAUAAAAUUGCAAAACAAAAAAUGUCUGAUAAGUAGUACAAAACAAAAUACUUUAAAUCACCUUGAAUUGUUUUGUUUUUGUGAGGGUGGCUGUGUACACGUUUUGAGUUGUUUUGUGGUAAUAACUUUACAGUAUAAUAAGCGGUGAUGAAAAGGUAACAUGCCAGAUGUUAUCUAGAGAAACAAGCUCUUUAUUCAACCACUUCUGUGUCAGUCAGACGAAUGGUGAAUUGAAUGACAUUCCAACAUUUUAUGUGCACUUUGCAGGACAUAAAUCAGUUACAAGAAGGCAAAGGAGGAGUUGUAUUGUAACAGUAACAAGGAAAAGAACAGGAGAAGUAGCAGAAUCGAUCGGUAUUCUGAAUGCUAAAAUUAAUAUUAUUACACUUUGUAAAAUCUGUAACUUCCCUCCUCUCAAACUAUGUAAAUGUAGCUCUGGUCCAGGGCGUGGUUCGGCUACUCUCUCACGACAAUGAUCCUUUGGAGCACAGAGCUGGACCAGAGCUAGUGUAAAUGUGUUCAUCAGAGGAGGUCUUCAGUUUCACCACUGUAACCUCACCAUAACCUGUUCACCACUGUAACCUCACCAUAACCUGUUCACCAUUGCAUGUUAUGCAUUGCAGCCACUGUAUCAUACAGUAUGACACUUAGUUAAGAGGAAGUAAACAUUGUAAAUAUUGCUCAGUAUUCUUUAGAGUGAGCAGAUGUUCAUGUAGCUAAAGUCAUUACUGCAUGGUAAUGGCACUGAGGGCCUCCGGUAAGUACGAAAAGUUCAAUCCACAAAACAGGCAAAAGCAACGUUUUACAAAGGACCCCCCAACUGUUUUUAAGGGUUUUAAAUGGUUGAGAAUCUACCAUAUCUUUUCAAGUGAUUUCCCGUAGCGGACAUGUUUACAGUGAGUAGAGACUGAAGCGGUAAGCAGAAGGCGAUAGAUCUAGCAGUCCUUGUAAGCUAAUCAGUAGUUAAGGUGACGAGUGUUUAUUAGAAAUAACUUUUCUACGGUAUUCACUUUUAAACAUGUUUGACCCCAGGUAAUGGUUUGUACAGCUGCUUUGAGAAGGAUGUGGGGCUUAAUGAACUAUUCUGGUGUCCACAGAUUGGACCAGUUUUACUGUCUACAACACUGUCAGGUAACCAGAAAGAAACACUGUUCAUCAUUACAACAUUUUGUAA
rnacentral:lncRNA from 1 species